GUGGGGCAGUAGCAUUCAACAUGUUCACAUUAUUUAUAUUUUAACCUGAAAUGCAGACAUAAUGUAGGCCACCUCCUCAUCAGGAAGUCGCGAAUGGAGACUCACCGAGAAGUUGAGCGCUAGACCGAGACGAAUGGGGUGUGUGGGUGGCAGCUCGGUCAUGGCAAUGUCGGAGGCCGCCUUGUAUGCCACCAGUGAGUUCUCCGCCGCCUCCUUGCGGUCAUUGCCCGUUGCGAACUCGGCCAGGUACCGGUGGUAGUCGCCCUGCAACAUAAAACCCCCUUAAAAAUAUACCCAGAGAAGCAAAAUUAAACACACUUUAACGUAUUGCCCACUAAGAUUUUUUUUUUAGACGCUUGUUUAUUCGGCAAUAAAAAAUUAAUAUUUA